rnacentral:rRNA from 1 species
UACGUAGGGGACAAGCGUUGUCCGGAUUUACUGGGCGUAAAGAGCGCGCAGGCGGUCGAUCAAGUCGAGUGUGAAAGCUCCCGGCUCAACUGGGGAGGGUCAUUCGAUACUGAUCGACUCGAAGGCAGGAGAGGGUAGUGGAAUUCCCGGUGUAGUGGUGAAAUGCGUAGAGAUCGGGAGGAACACCAGAGGCGAAAGCGGCGACCUGGACAGGCACUGACACUCAACUGCGAAAGCGUGGGGAGCAAACAGG